rnacentral:rRNA from 1 species
UGGGGAAUCUUGCGCAAUGGGCGAAAGCCUGACGCAGCGACGCCGCGUGGGGGAAGAAGGCUUUCGGGUUGUAAACCCCUUUCAGGAAGGACGAAGCCACUCGGGUUAAUAGCCCAGAGGGUGACGGUACUUCCAGAAGAAGCCCCGGCUAACUACGUGCCAGCAGCCGCGGUAAUACGUAGGGGGCAAGCGUUGUCCGGAUUUAUUGGGCGUAAAGAGCGUGUAGGCGGUUAGGUAGGUCCGUUGUGAAAACUCGAGGCUCAACCUCGAGACGCCGAUGGAAACCAUCUGACUAGAGUCCGGAAGAGGAGAGUGGAAUUCCUGGUGUAGCGGUGAAAUGCGCAGAUAUCAGGAAGAACACCCGUGGCUAAGGCGGCUCUCUAGUACGUGACUGACGCUGAGACGCGAAAGCGUGGGGAGCGAACAGGAUUAGAUACCCCCGUAGUCC